rnacentral:rRNA from 1 species
AUGGUAGGAUAGAGGCCUACCAUGGUGGUAACGGGUAACGGGGUGUUAGGGCACGACACCGGAGAGGGAGCCUGAGAAACGGCUACCACAUCCAAGGAUGGCAGCAGGCGCGCAAAUUACCCAAUCCCGACACGGGGAGGUAGUGACAAUAAAUAACAAUACGGGGUUCUUUAGGAUCUCGUAAUUGGAAUGAGUACAAUUUAAAUCUCUUAACGAGGAACAAUUGGAGGGCAAGUCUGGUGCCAGCAGCCGCGGUAAUUCCAGCUCCAAUAGCGUAUAUUAAAGUUGUUGCAGUUAAAAAGCUCGUAGUUGAAUUUCGGGGUCAGUAGGUCGGUCGUGCCACUGGUAUGAACUGGUUUUACUGAUUCCUCCCUCUUGAAGAACUGUAAUGCCAUUAAUUUGGUGUUGCAGGGAAUCAGGACUGUUACUUUGAAAAAAUUAGAGUGUUUAAAGCAGGCUUUAGCUUGAAUACAUUAGCAUGGAAUAAUGAAAUAGGACGUUUGAUCCUAUUUUGUUGGUUUCUAGGAUUGACGUAAUGAUUAAUAGGGAUAGUUGGGGGCAUUAGUAUUCAAUUGUCAGAGGUGAAAUUCUUGGAUUUAUUGAAGACUAACUACUGCGAAAGCAUUUGCCAAGGAUGUUUUCAUUAAUCAAGAACGAAAGUUAGGGGAUCGAAGACGAUCAGAUACCGUCGUAGUCUUAACCAUAAACUAUGCCGACUAGGGAUCGGAUGAUGUUAAUUUUUUAAUGACUCAUUCGGCGCCUUACGGGAAACCAAAG